rnacentral:rRNA from 1 species
CCCUUAGAUGCUCUGGGCCGCACGCGCGCUACACUGGUCGAUGCAACGAGUUUCUUUCCUUGGCCGACAGGCCUGGGCAAUCUUUGAACAUCGAUCGUGAUCGGGAUAGAUUCUUGUAAUUUUUGAUCUUGAACGAGGAAUUCCUAGUAAACGCAAGUCAUCAGCUUGCAUUGAUUACGUCCCUGCCCUUUGUACACACCGCCCGUCGCACCUACCGAUUGAAUGGUCCGGUGAAAUCUCCGGACUGGCGUGAGUCGGAGCAAUCUGACAAACGCCGGAAAGUUGAUUAAACCUUACCAUUUAGAGGAAGGUGAAGUCGUAACA